rnacentral:lncRNA from 1 species
GACUGCCAUCCUGGGCCAGGCUGGGGGUGGUGGGAAGGGAUGCAGAACACACCCAAACCUGCAUCUCUGCUGUAAGGAUUUUCGUUUCAGGAAACAGCAGAUGCAGGGGAAACCCUGAAAACCGCAGCGUUAACCUCUCACAAGGGACGUUUUUACAUUUCUGAAGGAGCCCUACAUCCACGCAGGAAGGAGGCUCAAGACUGCGCGGUCUAAGCAGGAGGCAGCCCCUCCCCGGGGUCCUCCCCCGCCCCACGCCAGUGUGUCCUGACUGGUGCUUCGGCAGGUCCUCCAGCCACUUCAGGGACCUCCCCGCCCCUGGUAGCUCCACAGAUGCCUGCUGUACACGCCAGUAACCUGCGUGUUGUUCUCGUUAAUCUGUCUUUAAUUACGGCCGAGGACUAGGGGUGCAGGGAAAGCUGUCUGCGUCCUCUACACGGAGAGAGGAGGCACCUGUUCGGAUCUGACUCUUCUUGGUGGCGCAGGGGGCGGAGAGGAGGCUAGCCUGGACCACCUGCUCAACCCUGGGGCACGACGUGUCUUUCCCCUGGGUCAGGGAGGUGACUUCCGAUGGGAUGAGGUCUGCUGGAAACUUACCUGCUGUUCUUGGAAGACCUGGUGUUCUCACCUGCCAGCGGCGUGAGGACGGGCGAGCCAGAGGACAGUUUCAUGCCUCCGGAAUGGUGGGGAUAGUGGGGUUGGUGGGUCCACCAGACCCACAACGGCCCUGUGAGCUGCCUCAGGGGGGCUGUGGCGCGGUGAGUUCAGCGACCUUCCCAUCUCCACUGCUGGCUCAAGCCCCUGACCUCACCUCAAGCACCGGCUCUGGCUGGCACAGUUGGGAGUGCGUCCUCCGCCUUCCUGGGCCUUCCCAUUGCUGCCAUCGCCUCAUCUUCUGUGUCUCGUUAGGACUCCCUCCCUGGAUGUAGGGCCUACCCAGUAUCACCUACAUCCGAAAGACUAUAUUUCCAUAGAAGGUCCCAUGCCAAGGUCCCCCUGCGGGGGCCUCUGCUGGGGUAUCCAGGGUAUAGGAUCCCAGGAUGGUGGUGCCACGGGCAUGAGGUGUGGGCGCAGCCCAUCCCCACAGGGAAAUAGAGGUUUUUGCUGAGGAGUGAAUAUGAGACUCCAUUCACAUCACAGAACUCUUUCUGGAAGUUAUAGUAUGAAACAGAGUAUGUUUUCUGCCUUUUUAUGCUUGUUUUUAUGUAGCGUCACACACAUGUCAGGUGCAUUUAGUUCUGUAAGCAGGGUAAUCCUCAGGGUUGAACCCAGGAGCAGUAGUAGCUUGUGGACUGGAGAACCGUCAUCCCCGUGCCGUGGGAGGGUUAGCACAAGGACCGCAGUGCCCGGGACAGGCAGGCCUCCUGGGCUGACACCGUACUCAGCACCCAUGGCCCACAGCCUGGCCCGAGCACAGGGCUGCCCCACGGCCAUGGCAG